CGGUACGUACUGGCAUCGUCGGUUUCUCCCUUCUGACGAACCAUGAUGUCAUUUAUUUGGUGUUGUGGGGAAUCAGGACUGUUACUCUGAAAAAAUUAGAGUGUUUAAAGCAGGCUCACGCUUGAAUACAUUAGCAUGGAAUAAUGAAAUAGGACGUUUGAUUCUAUUUUGUUGGUUUCUAGGAUCGACGUAAUGAUUAAUAGGGAUAGUUGGGGGCAUUAGUAUUCAAUUGUCAGAGGUGAAAUUCUUGGAUUUAUUGAAGACUAACUACUGCGAAAGCAUUUGCCAAGGAUGUUUUCAUUAAUCAAGAACGAAAGUUAGGGGAUCGAAGACGAUCAGAUACCGUCGUAGUCUUAACCAUAAACUAUGCCGACUAGGGAUCGGAUGAUGUUAAUUUUUUAAUGACUCAUUCGGCGCCUUACG
rnacentral:rRNA from 1 species